UUUUAUUUUAUUCAUUUGCUUAAUGAAUUAACACGUGAUAAAUCACUGGGGGCUCAGUAGGGAAAGGCAGGUACCCCUCCUGGAGAGGUGCCAUCAUAUGUCACUUACUCUUUCUGUCUUUCCUACUCUUUCUGAUGGUUUCUAUCUCUCCUCCCUCUGAGACUCCAGUCCUCAUGUCACCAGCUCCCUUCUAGAUACAGCUGCUCCUUCCUGAUGCAUAUCAACACUUAGUGUCCCUAGAGGAAGCAGUGACUCAAGGAUCCUAUCAUUCUUUAAUUCUUACAAUAUCCCAUGAAGUUUAUGCUGUUAUCCUGAUUAAAAUACAUGAUGUUAAGAAAAUUAAGUCGACUGCUCAAUUACAUGCCUAUGUGCAUUUUUAUAUGGAAAAGGAUAAAUGGGAACACUUAUUCAGCAUGUUUAGGUGCCCUAUCCUCUUGGAAAUACUUGUUACAGAGAAAUGAAGAA